UUUCAAGUGAGUGGCGAACGGGUGAGUAACACGUGGACAACCUGCCUCAAGGCUGGGGAUAACAUUUGGAAACAGAUGCUAAUACCGAAUAAAACUUAGUGUCGCAUGACACAAAGUUAAAAGGCGCUUCGGCGUCACCUAGAGAUGGAUCCGCGGUGCAUUAGUUAGUUGGUGGGGUAAAGGCCUACCAAGACAAUGAUGCAUAGCCGAGUUGAGAGACUGAUCGGCCACAUUGGGACUGAGACACGGCCCAAACUCCUACGGGAGGCUGCAGUAGGGAAUCUUCCACAAUGGGCGAAAGCCUGAUGGAGCAACGCCGCGUGUGUGAUGAAGGCUUUCGGGUCGUAAAGCACUGUUGUAUGGGAAGAACAGCUAGAAUAGGAAAUGAUUUUAGUUUGACGGUACCAUACCAGAAAGGGACGGCUAAAUACGUGCCAGCAGCCGCGGUAAUACGUAUGUCCCGAGCGUUAUCCGGAUUUAUUGGGCGUAAAGCGAGCGCAGACGGUUUAUUAAGUCUGAUGUGAAAGCCCGGAGCUCAACUCCGGAAUGGCAUUGGAAACUGGUUAACUUGAGUGCAGUAGAGGUAAGUGGAACUCCAUGUGUAGCGGUGGAAUGCGUAGAUAUAUGGAAGAACACCAGUGGCGAAGGCGGCUUACUGGACUGCAACUGACGUUGAGGCUCGAAAGUGUGGGUAGCAAACAGGAUUAGAUACCCUGGUAGUCCACACCGUAAACGAUGAACACUAGGUGUUAGGAGGUUUCCGCCUCUUAGUGCCGAAGCUAACGCAUUAAGUGUUCCGCCUGGGGAGUACGACCGCAAGGUUGAAACUCAAAGGAAUUGACGGGGACCCGCACAAGCGGUGGAGCAUGUGGUUUAAUUCGAAGCAACGCGAAGAACCUUACCAGGUCUUGACAUCCUUUGAAGCUUUAGAAGAUAGAAGUGUUCUCUUCGGAGACAAAGUGACAGGUGGUGCAUGGUCGUCGUCAGCUCGUGUCGUGAGAUGUUGGGUUAAGUCCCGCAACGAGCGCAACCCUUAUUGUUAGUUGCCAGCAUUCAGAUGGGCACUCUAGCGAGACUGCCGUGACAAACCGGAGGAAGGCGGGGACAACGUCGAAUAUCAUGCCCCUUAUGACCGGGGCUACCACGGGCUACAAGGGGGUAACAACAAUUGCCACCCCGCGGGGGGGAGCAAACCCUUAAGAGACGCCCCCCUUCGGAAUUGU
rnacentral:rRNA from 1 species